rnacentral:ncRNA from 1 species
AAAAGAUAAAGGCAAACCAUUCGAAAGAUUGGGACGCAAAACUACAGGUCUUAGGUUUUAAACUAUGAUGGCUGGGUUGCAAAA